CCAGGGAGCAUCAAUGCUCACUUUGUGCUCUUAUCUGAAAUUACAUGACGCUAUUGUGCAGCAUGAAGCAAGCGCAGCAGAUUUGGAGCUCUCGCAUCUUCCAAGCUGCGACCUUAUAGCCGUCCUUGAAUUUUUGGUUUUGUUUUUUUGCCAUACUGAACCUGCAUUAACGACGACAGUGGGGGCUCGCCGACAGCCUUACCCACCGGGUAGCUCUGAACAAUGGCAGCGUUGUCAGGAAUGAAGCGGCUCCACCAAACCGCUGGACAAUUUCCUGAGCAGUUACACGGGAGGGUCAGGGCUUCAUUCACCAUCGACUCUAUGACAAUGAAGGCUUGGCACUGCUGCAUCAGCAGGUUGUUCAUUGGAAUGAAACUUCACUACUACCUCUUGCUGUGUGGGCGGUACUGCUACCUGACGUCAAAAGUGCAGGAGCCUACCAAAUCCCUUUUAUGGCUGUGUGGGCGGUACUGCUACCUGACGUCAAAAGUGCAGGAGCCUACCAAAUCCCUUUUAUGGCUGUGUGGGCGGUUGUUACCCAAACCAGUUCAAACGGUAUCAGUGGACAGUGUCGCAGUACUUUUCCCUUAGAGCCUCACACCCCGACCCCUGCA